rnacentral:lncRNA from 1 species
AGCCCCACUCCCGGUUCCCCAGCCCCAUUCCCGGUUCCCCAGCCCCAUUCCCGGUUAUCCCAGCCCCAUUCCCGGUUAUCCCAGCCCCACUCCCGGUUUUCCCAGCCCCACUCCUGGUUAUCCCGGCCCCACUCCCGGUUUUCCCAGCCCCGUUCCCGGUUCCCCAGCCGCUCAGCCGGCCGCGUGUGUUGCAGCCACGCGUCGGACGUGAUGGAGACGUCGGGCUGGAAGUCCAUGGUGGUGUCGCACCCGCACCUGGUGGCCGAGGCCUAUCGCUCGCUGGCCUCGGCGCAGUGCCCGUUCCUGGGCCCGCCCCGCAAGCGGCUGAAGCAAUCCUAAGCCCCCGCCGCCCUCAUCCCGAGCUUUUCUGGAAGCGGCCCCAGCUGCUGCUGCCGCCCAGCCCUUGAGCACCGGGGAGCCGGCGAGGCCCGUGGAGCUUGGACUCUGUUGUUGGGGGGAAGAGGCUGCUCCGUGUGACAUCCAGACUUUGUCCAACAGCACCGAGAAACUUUGGGAAAAGGGGGGAGGGUGGGCUCUGGGGCUGUUCCUGCGAUUCCCUGUGUCUGUGUGUUCCCUUGCACCCGCCUGAGGCCCUCCAGGAUCCGGCCGUUCCCCCGGCCCGGGGCUCCGUGUGCGUGGGAUGCCUGGGGCAGAGGACUCUGCUGCCUUUGGGAGGAGUGAAGGCAGAAGUUCCACCGAGGUUUCGGCCAGGAAACCNNNNNNNNNNAGGUGUAAAUCCCAAAUCCAUUCUCACAGCCUCCUCCUAGGUGUAAAUCCCAUAUCCACAUUCUCGCUGCCUCCCCUCAGGUGUAAUCCCAAAUCCAUUCUCACUGCCUCCUCCGAGGUGUAAAUCCCCAUAUCCACAUUCUCACUGCCUCCAUCCAGGUGUAAAUCCCAAAUCCAUUCUCACAGCCUCCUCCCAGGUGUAAAUCCCAAACCCACAUUCUCGGGCACUUUUUUCCCCGUUUGGGGCCGUUUCUUGCCUCAGUUUCCCCGGGCCCAGCCCCCUAACCCGGCUCCCCUCUGUGUCCACCCCAGUGCGUGUCCUGCAACAAAUCCUUCAAGAAGCUCUGGUCCCUCCACGAGCACAUCAAGAUCGUGCACGGCUACGCCGAGAAGAAAUUCUCCUGCGAGAUCUGCGAGAAGAAGUUCUACACCAUGGCCCACGUGCGCAAACACAUGCCCACACCAAGGACAUGCCCUUCACCUGCGAGACCUGCGGCAAGUCCUUCAAGCGCAGCAUGUCCCUGAAGGUGCACUCGCUGCAGCACUCGGGGGAAAAGCCCUUCCGCUGCGAGGUGAGGCUGCCCGGGGCUUCAGGGGUCAAAUCCCUGCCG